rnacentral:rRNA from 1 species
AGAGUUUGAUCAUGGCUCAGAACGUACGCUGGCGGCACGCCUUAUACAUGCAAGUCGAACGAAGUAGCAAUACUUAGUGGCAGACGGGUGAGUAACAUGUAGGUAUCUUCCCUUUGGUGAGGAAUAACACGAGGAAACUUGUGCUAAUACCUCAUAAGUCUUUACGGAGAAAGCUUUAUGCGCCGAAGGAUGAGCCUGCACUUGAUUAGUUUGUUGGUGGGGUAAUGGCCUACCAAGACUUUGAUCUAUAGCUGAUCUGAGAGGAUGAUCAGCCACAUUGGGACUGAGACACGGCCCAAACUCCUACGGGAGGCAGCAGUAGGGAAUAUUGCACAAUGGAGGAAACUCUGAUGCAGCGAUGCCGCGUGAGUGAAGAAGGCCUUUGGGUUGUAAAGCUCUUUCGUCGGGGAAGAAAAUGACUGUACCCGAAUAAGAAGGUCCGGCUAACUUCGUGCCAGCAGCCGCGGUAAUAC